rnacentral:rRNA from 1 species
CAAGCCUGAUCCAGCAAUGCCGCGUGCAGGAUGAAGGCCUUCGGGUUGUAAACUGCUUUUGUACGGAACGAAAAGCCUCUCUCUAAUACAGGGGGGUGAUGACGGUACCGUAAGAAUAAUCACCGGCUAACUUCGUGCCAGCAGCCGCGGUAAUACGAAGGGGGCUAGCGUUGCUCGGAAUCACUGGGCGUAAAGCGCACGUAGGCGGAUCGUUAAGUCAGGGGUGAAAUCCUGGGGCUCAACCUCAGAACUGCCCUUGAUACUGGCGAUCUCGAGUUCGAGAGAGGUUGGUGGAACUCCGAGUGUAGAGGUGAAAUUCGUAGAUAUUCGGAAGAACACCAGUGGCGAAGGCGGCCAACUGGCUCGAUACUGACGCUGAGGUGCGAAAGCGUGGGGAGCAAACA